rnacentral:rRNA from 1 species
CUGGCGUGCACGGGGCGUGCGGGUCGGCUCCGGCUCGGCCUAGUUGGACCGCAGGACCAGGUGGAGCUCGCGCGGGCUCGACGGCACGCGUUCGUCUUCUGGGGUCCCUUCGGGACGUAGGGGACAGGGCUAGCAGGGGCAACGGCGUGCGGGACCAACCCCGCUAACCUAGAGCGGCUUCUCGAAGCGGCAAGCGGCCCGUCAACGCGGUGGUAGCGGUCUUGCGGCGGCGGCGGUGGCGGCGGGUUGAAGCGGCCUCGUGGUGGUACCAAGUGGAGCAACGACAGCGGAUGCCUCCCUCGGGGCAGCGGCAACUUGUGGUGGCGGCGGAGACGGCGAGCUGUGGCGUGGGCGGGCAGUGAAGUGGAAGCGGUCUCUGGGUGGCCUCCUCGCGGCGGCGGUUGCGGGCUCUGGCGGCGGCGGCAGGAGACGAAGACUAACAGGCCUCACGCUGCGUUUGAUAACAGUCCUCACACUGGAAGACUUGGUCUUGGUUCCUAUAAGUCUGCUUCUCAUUCCAUGGCAAUCCCAGCGCUCAGAUGUGAGUCGUAGCGGUCACCCGAUACUACCCUGAGUAGCAAUAAAAGACGAUGAAAGGCGACAAACUAAUUUAUUUCGAUC